GACAAUGUCAUGGUAGUGCUGUGCCACAUGU
rnacentral:piRNA from 1 species